GACGAACGCUGGCGGCGUGCCUAAUACAUGCAAGUAGAACGCUGAAGAGAGGAGCUUGCUCUUCUUGGAUGAGUUGCGAACGGGUGAGUAACGCGUAGGUAACCUGCCUUGUAGCGGGGGAUAACUAUUGGAAACGAUAGCUAAUACCGCAUAACAAUGGAUGACACAUGUCAUUUAUUUGAAAGGGGCAAUUGCUCCACUACAAGAUGGACCUGCGUUGUAUUAGCUAGUAGGUGAGGUAAUGGCUCACCUAGGCGACGAUACAUAGCCGACCUGAGAGGGUGAUCGGCCACACUGGGACUGAGACACGGCCCAGACUCCUACGGGAGGCAGCAGUAGGGAAUCUUCGGCAAUGGGGGCAACCCUGACCGAGCAACGCCGCGUGAGUGAAGAAGGUUUUCGGAUCGUAAAGCUCUGUUGUAAGUCAAGAACGGGUGUGAGAGUGGAAAGUUCACACUGUGACGGUAGCUUACCAGAAAGGGACGGCUAACUACGUGCCAGCAGCCGCGGUAAUACGUAGGUCCCGAGCGUUGUCCGGAUUUAUUGGGCGUAAAGCGAGCGCAGGCGGUUUGAUAAGUCUGAAGUUAAAGGCUGUGGCUCAACCAUAGUUCGCUUUGGAAACUGUCAAACUCGAGUGCAGAAGGGGAGAGUGGAAUUCCAUGUGUAGCGGUAAAAUGCGUAGAUAUAUGGAGGAACACCGGUGGCGAAAGCGGCUCUCUGGUCUGUAACUGACGCUGAGGCUCGAAAGCGUGGGGAGCGAACAGGAUUAGAUACCCUGGUAGUCCACGCCGUAAACGAUGAGUGCUAGGUGUUGGAUCCUUUCCGGGAUUCAGUGCCGCAGCUAACGCAUUAAGCACUCCGCCUGGGGAGUACGACCGCAAGGUUGAAACUCAAAGGAAUUGACGGGGGCCCGCACAAGCGGUGGAGCAUGUGGUUUAAUUCGAAGCAACGUGAAGAACCUUACCAGGUCUUGACAUCCCGAUGCUAUUUCUAGAGAUAGAAAGUUACUUCGGUACAUCGGUGACAGGUGGUGCAUGGUUGUCGUCAGCUCGUGUCGUGAGAUGUUGGGUUAAGUCCCGCAACGAGCGCAACCCCUAUUGUUAGUUGCCAUCAUUCAGUUGGGCACUCUAGCGAGACUGCCGGUAAUAAACCGGAGGAAGGUGGGGAUGACGUCAAAUCAUCAUGCCCCUUAUGACCUGGGCUACACACGUGCUACAAUGGUUGGUACAACGAGUUGCGAGUCGGUGACGGCGAGCUAAUCUCUUAAAGCCAAUCUCAGUUCGGAUUGUAGGCUGCAACUCGCCUACAUGAAGUCGGAAUCGCUAGUAAUCGCGGAUCAGCACGCCGCGGUGAAUACGUUCCCGGGCCU
rnacentral:rRNA from 1 species